UACGUAGGGGUCUAGCGUUGUCCGGAAUUAUUGGGCGUAAAGAGCUCGUAGGCGGUUUGUCGCGUCUGCUGUGAAAACUCGGGGCUUAACCCCGGGCCUGCAGUGGGUACGGGCAGACUAGAGUGCGGUAGGGGAGACUGGAAUUCCUGGUGUAGCGGUGAAAUGCGCAGAUAUCAGGAGGAACACCGGUGGCGAAGGCGGGUCUCUGGGCCGUAACUGACGCUGAGGAGCGAAAGCGUGGGGAGCGAACAGG
rnacentral:rRNA from 1 species